rnacentral:rRNA from 1 species
GUGGGGUAGGGGAGCGUUCUGUAAGCCGUUGAAGGUGGUCUGUAAGGGCUGCUGGAGGUAUCAGAAGUGCGAAUGCUGACAUGAGUAACGAUAAAGGGAGUGAAAAACUCCCUCGCCGGAAGACCAAGGGUUCCUGUCCAACGUUAAUCGGGGCAGGGUAAGUCGACUCCUAAGGCGAGGCCGAAAGGCGUAGUCGAUGGGAAACGGGUUAAUAUUCCCGUACUUCUUACAAUUGCGAUGGGGGGACGGAGAAGGCUAGGUGGGCCUGGCGACGGUUGUCCAGGUUCAAGUACGUAGGCGGAAGGUUUAGGUAAAUCCGGACUUUCAUUAACGCUGAGAUACGAUGUCGAGCACCUACGGGUGUGAAGUCAUUGAUGCCAUGCUUCCAGGAAAAGCCUCUAAGCUUCAGAUUGUAAGGAAUCGUACCCCAAACCGACACAGGUGGUCGGGUAGAGAAUACCAAGGCGCUUGAGAGAACUCGGGUGAAGGAACUAGGCAAAAUGGUACCGUAACUUCGGGAGAAGGUACGCUCUUAUCAGUGAAGUCCCUUGCGGAUGGAGCAGACGAGAGUCGCAGAUACCAGGUGGCUGCAACUGUUUAUUAAAAACACAGCACUGUG